rnacentral:rRNA from 1 species
AACGAACGCUGGCGGCAUGCCUAACACAUGCAAGUCGAACGAUACCUUCGGGUCUAGUGGCGCACGGGUGCGUAACGCGUCGGAACCUGCCCUUAGGUUCGGAAUAACUCCCCGAAAGGGGUGCUAAUACCGGACAAUGUCUUCGGACCAAAGAUUUAUCGCCUUUGGAUGGGCCCGCGUUGGAUUAGCUAGUUGGUAGGGUAAAAGCCUACCAAGGCGACGAUCCAUAGCUGGUCUGAGAGGAUGAUCAGCCACACUGGGACUGAGACACGGCCCAGACUCCUACGGGAGGCAGCAGUGGGGAAUAUUGGACGAUGGGCGAAAGCCUGAUCCAGCAAUGCCGCGUGAGUGAGGAAGGCCUUAGGGUUGUAAAGCUCUUUUACCCGGGAUGAUAAUGACAGUACCGGGAGAAUAAGCUCCGGCUAACUCCGUG